CCUUUCUCUCAAAAGUCAGCUGCUGAGUUUUGCCCCAAACUACCCUCUGCUGCAAUAUAUCUUCCAGACUGAGGAGGAAAUUAGUCUUCUUGUCCCACAUGUCAUUGCUUGUCACCUUCUCUGAAGCAAUGACAUUCAUGACCUGGUUCUUGGCCUCAACCUCUGAGAAGUUCUCCUUUCUGCAUUCCUCAUCUUAAAUUACUUAACCUGAAAAUAUACUGUUUAAAUCUUACACUAGGGCUCCAUAUACUCUGCUUAACUGCAGAAAGAGUCAGUAUAUGUAAAUUAAUUUUCCAGAUAACUGAAGCUUAGCCAUCUUUUGAUGCCAGCCAUGUGGACGAGAAUUUUUCUGAGGGUGAAUUUCAAUGCAAGUAUCCUUGCUUUCUUAACCAGGAUACAUGGAACAAAAUUGAGCUUUUCUGCCAUAGUCUGUCCUCUUAUGAAGUAAUGAUGUCCUCAAGCUCUACUGAGGAUAAUGAGGACAUGUGACAAACACCAAAUGAACACAGUGGACAUCAGAAGAGGACAUCCUGGGACAAAGGUCCAGCUUUGAAGAAAAAUAUUUUUGUAUAAAUUUUGUGUAGCCCAAGUAUGCAGUGUUGAUAAGAUCUACAGUGGCGUAGUCAUGUCCUGGGGCUUCACAUUCCCUCACCACUCACUGAUGCACCCAGAGCAACUGCCAGUCCUGCAAGUUCCAUUCACGCCUUACCUGAAGGAGACUUCGGACACCAUCCCUGAAACAGUCUGCCGCCACUGCAGCGUAAAAAGCCUUGAUUUUGUUCUUUGUAAGCCAGACCUGUUUUUUCGCCAUGCCACUGUUCAUCUCCUUAACACACAGUUUGCGCGGUCCCUGUGCGACACAAUGAAAUAUUGGUUAGAACCCUGCUAUUAUACAUCACAUUGCUGUUGUUUU